rnacentral:rRNA from 1 species
UCCUACGGGAUGCAGCAGUGGGGAAUUUUGGACAAUGGGGGCAACCCUGAUCCAGCCAUGCCGCGUGAGUGAAGAAGGCCUUCGGGUUGUAAAGCUCUUUCGGCUGGGAAGAAAUCGCAUCUCCUAAUACGGGGUGUGAUGACGGUACCAGCAUAGAGAACCCACCCC